AUGGCGGUCCGCCGUCGCCAGCUCCUCCUGCCGGCGCUCGCCGCCCUGCUGCUCAUCCUCGCCGGACGCUCCAACAAGAAGCUCCAGGCGGUUAAGGUGAAGAGCUGGGUGAGUGGAACCCAGGGUACGACCGUUACUGGAAUGAGCGCGACAUUCGGAGCCACCUUUCCUACAACUGUCAACGAGGCUCAGAGAACAUGUGCUGCUCUCACCAACCCUCUUGACUGCUGCUCAAAUACAACCUCAGAGUUAACGGAUUCUGUCGCCUUAGCGACACGUGGACAGUGUGCUCUCACCGCUAAAGCGGAAACUGCACACUGCACAGGCUGCUGA
rnacentral:rRNA from 1 species